rnacentral:tRNA from 1 species
GGAGAUUUAGCUCAGUGGUAGAGCACUUGCCUAGCAAGCGCAAGGCCCUGGGUUCGAUUCCCAGCUCCG